rnacentral:lncRNA from 1 species
UGAUUCUGCACCUCGGUGCAGCCUCUGGCCUGGCUGCGCUCUGAGGAGCUCCCUGUGGCCACCGAGCCCUUGGAACGUGGCCAGUUCCAUUCUCAAACUGCUGUGAGUGCAAAGCUCAUGCUGGAUUUUGAAGAUUUGGCAAGAAAGGAGCUGAGGAAGCCACUCAACUCUCCAGCACCCACCCUGUGCGGCCACGGAGGACCGUGGGGAUGGGAAGUGUCCCCUCCACCAAGCACAGCCCUCAUCUCUUCCCGGAAGUUGCUCCCCGGCGUCAGCGUCCUCACCCAGCCACCCCUGGGACUUUGGAGUUGCUGCAGAGCAUGACUGCUGGGAUCUGCCUUCUUCCCUUCCAAACCGUCGAAGCCCCUGUCCCUGCUCCUUGGUUGAAUACUGGGGGCGUGGGCAGAAAACUCUUCAUCUUUUUAAUUCAGGGCCCUCCAGCUUGGGAGGAGACACAGCUAGGCUGGAUGCGGCAACUUGUGUACUUUUGACCUUCAUGUAGCUGGAGGACACCGGGUUGCCCUUGAGGAAGCAGGUGUAUUUUGCCUGCAGGAAGGGCAGUCUUCUGAGUACCUCGCAGGUGUCUGGAUGUGGUGCGCAUUAGUGCUGUUCAUCAGACACCUUCAGCUGUCCUCUGGGCAGAUGGCAGGGUUGUGUCUUCCUGUGGAGUUCCUUCCUUUCGCCUCAGUGACCACGGAGACGCAUGUCGAGGUGUGACCUCGCCUGGGCCUCUGCAUGAGGGUGGGGAGCAGAGUCCUCCUUAGUGGGAGUGGAGCGUGCACAGGACGUAAUUACGUGGGGCCAUUUGUUACGCAGCCUAACACAGCCUGUCCUGGCUGAUGCAGAUGGCCAUUGCAGCAGUCAUCUGCAGGUCCUCAGCUUAGUCUCACCCUCACUGGAGAUCUUAGCCUUGGCCUCACAGGUGCUCCAGACCUUUUCCUGGCAGAAUUUUGGUGACUUCAGAAAUAUGAUGACUGCUGAACCCACUUCUCCCAGCAUUUCUAUUUGUGGUUGCCUGGUGUAUUUAAAGUCUGUGUUGAUGGGUGCAUAUAUUUUUAACGUUUCCCUAUUGUGAAAUUUAAUAAAUUUACAGCAAAAUGUAUAAAAUACGAAAGUAAAAAACUAUCACCCUAGUCAAAAAAUGGUGCAUUACCCAUCCCCGAGAAGAUGCCUGCCUGUCCCUGCCCAGUCACGACUUUCACUCGCGUCCGUCCAUGUGAAGAGACCACCAAACAGGCUUUGUGUCAGCAAUAAAGCUUUUUAAUCACCUGGGCGCAGGCGGGCUGAGUCCAAAAACAGAGCCAGCGAAGGGAGAUAGGGGUGGGGCCGUUUUAUAGGAUUUGGG